AAUCCAUGUUGCGGGCACUUUCUCAGGAGCUCUUUGAACCUUUUAGACAUCUCAAAUAGAGACUCCAAUUCUAACUGUACAAAGGACGAGAUCUUAUUCCUAAGUUU